GCCAGCGUAGGUUAGUGGUUUGAAUGUUGGGCUGUGACUCUGGAGACUAGGGUUCGAAUCCUGGCUCAGCCA